AGACAGAUUUUCUAUUUUUUAGUCUAUACAUUUAAAUUUUAUAAUUAUUUUUGGAGUUGGGCUGGAAUACUAUUGAUAAUAUCACUAUAACAAAAUUAGGUUAUAGGGACACAUGUUUGGGACACUUUUGAGUAAGUGUCCCAUUUAUGCUAAAACUUAAAAACACAUUUACUAAUGCCUAAAUAUAAAGCCCAAUCCAACCAAAAAUAAAAGAUUAUUCUAUUCAACCCACCACACCCAGUCCAUUUGGCUCGAUUACAAACAGAAAAGAAAAAAAAAAGAAAAAAUCAAUUACCAUCUUUUCUUCUCUCUUCACUCAAUCCACUGAAAUUCUAGACGAAGAGCCUUUACUGUCGUCCUCCUCCGCCACCGUAGCCAACGAGAUAGAGUUUCGGCGGUUGCUAAAUGCUUAAAUAAGUGUUGGUAAAUUAGCAGCACUCUUUUAGGUUAUAGCGACACUCUUUAACUGUCACUAUAUACCUAGCGAUCCCACAUAUAGCAACACUUUUUAAAAGUAUCGGUAAUUUUAGCUAGUAGCACUUUUUUGACAUGUACCUACAUUUAAAAGUGUCGCUAUAAACCGUUUUUGUUGUAGUGUAUUUGGCUCCUUUUGUUAUUAAGUUUUUAGCCAUUGGGUGAGGGAUUGUAGGAUUAGGAUGAUAUUAGUCCCUUAGGGUUGAGUGAUUCCUACUGAGUUAUAAUAUUUAAUCCAUUGGUUAGAAAUGGUCAAAUAAAUUAAUCCAAAGGCUAAAAAUUUGAUAGCAAAAGAGGGCAAACACUUUUAUGUUGAAACUUAAUAUUUAGAACUUAAUACAUCUUUGGGUAAGGGAGUCCAAAAUGGUGGAAUUUUUUUCCUUUGGUUAAAGUGGAUUGUAAUUUUACUCUAUUUUUUGGAGUAUAGUAUAACUAUAUUUCAAAAAUUACGUCAUUUUUUUUCUCUCCAAACGCUUCAUAGGAUUAUUUUUCUACUGGUGUAACAUAGUUUAACUAUGCUACGUUUUUAGGGGUAUCAAAACGGGGUCUUAAUGAUAUUCUAAUCCAACUUAUUAUUUCUGUAUAAGCUAUUUAGAUGUUGCAUAUCAUAAUCAUAG
rnacentral:lncRNA from 1 species